CAAUUAUGGGGCUUGCAGGCCUGCCCAAUAUUAUGGGAUUUAAAAAGAAAAAUCAAAAAUUAUUGAUUAUUCCUUUAGCUUCUUUUUUUUCGUACUAGAUCAUUGAAGUCCGGUGUGGUUUUGACACUUAGAGUUCCAGAACACGCUGCCCACCUGCUAAAGGCAGAACUGUGCAGGGUCCGUCCCUGCAUCUCCACUGCUUAGUGUCAGGCCUGACUUGGCAGAGGUAUUGCUUUGGGACCUAGUCAGAGUCUCUGCCUUCAAGUAAUGGAGCCCACGUGAACAGAGGCAGAGAAGAAAGAGAUGCGGGGGUGGUGGAGGGUAGGAGAUGGUACAGAAAGGGAGAAGCAAAUGGUGCACAAACUGAGGCUUCUGAGGGAGUCAGGGCACAGUUUCCAGAAAGGGAAGGCCUUGCAGGACAUCAAGGAACUUGGGUUUCCCCAGCUGUGAUGGAUGGCUCUUCUUAUACCCUGCUAUCCAUGAAGAUGCAGGUUUAAUCCCUGGCCUCGCUCCGUGGGUUAAGGCUCUGGCAUUGUCCUGAGCUGCAUUGUAGGUCACAGACACAGCUCAGAUCCUGUGUAGUUCUGGGUGUGCUGUAGGCUGGCAGCUGCAGCUCUGAUUUGAACCCUAGCCUGGGAACUUCCGUAUGCUGCAGGUGUGGCCCUAAAAAGCAAAAGAAAAAAAAUAAAAUAAGUAAAGGACUUCAGGUUCGCUCAAUUAUGCUUUUUUUUUUUCCCCCCUGGAAGAUCAGAGCUCCAGACCCUCCAGGACAUAGUAUUAGGUUUAUUGGUUUAUUGAGAGAUGCCUCAAGGCAAGGUGACUAAGUGGGCUUCUUUAUGUUUUGAACCAGAGCAGUAAUUAGAGGAGAAUGCUGACUCUGAGAAUCUGGUGAGCAUAUGCUUUUUCACUGUAAUUUCAACUUCAGAUUUUAUCAGGGUCCCGAGAAGCCUCACUGUGGGCGCAUUAGAUACAUUUUAAGGCAAUAAUAAAACCGAUUUGAAUGAUCCCAUCUGUUAGAAUCCUUUUACGGAAAGCUGUCCUGCUUUCUUGGCGCUAUCAGACGGAUCAAGUUUGUUAUGGGAUUUGUCACUGGCUCCCAUCAAGAUCAGAGACCAGCUGUUCCAAUCCAGGGUCUUGGUGAUAUAUUUUGUGGGGCAGCAGAGCAUGGAACAAUUCAUUGCAGGGCUGAGGCACAGGAGGGAUUGAGGUCAAGUCACAGUCUAGGAGUCCCCAUUGUGACUCAAUGGGUUAAGAACCUGGCAGUAUCUGUGAGGAUGUGGGUUCGAUCCGUGGCCUCACUCAAUGGAUUAAGGCUCCCAUGUUGCCACAAGCUGUGAUGUCAGUCGCAGAUGCAGGUUCCCAUGGCUGUGGUGUAGGCUGGCAGCUGCAGCUGCAAUUUGACUACUAGCCUGGGAACAUCCACAUUCAGGUAUGGCUGUUAAACAAACCAACAAAAACCACAUAGUCUAGAGUGGCGCUUGUGCUUGGUCAUCAAAGGUAGACUGGUCCAGCCCUUUUGCCAGGAGAAGUACAGUCCAGAAGGCAAAUCACAAAGCUGGUGAAGCAACUACUUAACCAUAGGCGGCCAAGACACGCUGCCAAGGACACCAGAUUUCUCAGUAGUAUCCGAGGGGAAUCAGGGGGAGCUUGGGUCUUCUCCCUCCUCAAUCAAGGAGAUCAGACACAUUUUUGCCAGUUUUAUCUUUUAGAUUUCAUCACAAGGUUGCCUUUUAAAAUAAUAAGCCAACUAUAAU
ensembl:lncRNA